GACAGAGGGUGCAAACGUUGUUCGGAAUUACUGGGCGUAAAGCGCGUGUAGGCGGUCCGAUCAGUCGGCUGUGGAAGUCCAGGGCUCAACCCUGGGAUGCCGGUCGAUACUGUCGGGCUAGAGUCCGGAAGAGGCGAGUGGAAUUCCCGGUGUAGCGGUGGAAUGCGUAGAGAUCGGGAGGAACACCGGUGGCGAAGGCGGGUCUCUGGGCCGAUACUGACGCUGAGGAGCGAAAGCGUGGGGAGCGAACAGG
rnacentral:rRNA from 1 species